rnacentral:rRNA from 1 species
GAAUCCCGUCUUUGACGCGGACUGCCUGUACAUUAUGGUGUGCUCUCGAAGAGUCGAGUUGUUUGGGAAUGCAGCUCAAAAUGGGUGGUAAAUGCCAUCUAAAGCUAAAUAUUGGCGAGAGACCGAUAGCGAACAAGUACCGUGAGGGAAAGAUGAAAAGAACUUUGDAAAGAGAGUUAAACAGUACGUGAAAUUGCUGAAAGGGAAACGCUUGAAGUCAGUCGCGUUGGCUAGAAAUCAACCUUGCUUUUGCUUUGUGUACUUUCUGGUUGACGGGUCAGCAUCAAUUUUGACCACUGGAUAAAGUCUUUGGGAAUGUGGCAUCUUCGGAUGUGUUAUAGCCCAUUGUCGCAUACGGUGGUUGGGAUUGAGGAACUCAGCACGCCGCAAGGCCGGGUUUCGACCACGUUCGUGCUUAGGAUGCUGGCAUAAUGGCUUUAAUCGACCCGUCUUGAAACACGGACCAAGGAGUCUAACAUGCCUGCGAGUGUUUGGGUGGAAAAACCCAUGCGCGCAAUGAAAGUGAAAGUUGAGAUCCUCUUCAAAGGGGGAGCAUUGACGCCCGGACCAGACCUUUUGUGACGGAUCCGCGGUAGAGCAUGCAUGUUGGGACCCGAAAGAUGGUGAACUAUGCCUGAAUAGGGUGAAGCCAGAGGAAACUCUGGUGGAGGCUCGUAGCGAUUCUGACGUGCAAAUCGAUCGUCAAAUUUGGGUAUAGGGGCGAAAGACUAAUCGAAUCAUCUAGUAGCUGGUUCCUGCC